GACGAACGCUGGCGGCGUGCCUAAUACAUGCAAGUCGAGCGAGCGGCGGACGGGUGCGUAAUGUCUGGGAACCUGCCUGAUGGCGGGGGAUAACUACUGGAAACGGUAGCUAAUACCGCAUACCAUCAGCUGUGCCCAGAUGGGAUUAGCUAGUAGGUGGGGUAACGGCUCACCUAGGCGACGAUCCCUAGCUGGUCUGAGAGGAUGACCAGCCACACUGGAACUGAGACACGGUCCAGACUCCUACGGGAGGCAGCAGUGGGGAAUAUUGCACAAUGGGCGCAAGCCUGAUGCAGCCAUGCCGCGUGUGUGAAGAAGGCCUUCGGGUUGUAAAGCACUUUCAGCGGGGAGGCGUUACCCGCAGAAGAAGCACCGGCUAACUCCGUGCCAGCCGCCGCGGUAAUAC
rnacentral:rRNA from 1 species